UACAGAGGUCCCAAGCGUUGUUCGGAUUCACUGGGCGUAAAGGGUGCGUAGGCGGUCGGGUAAGUCUGAUGUGAAAUCUCACAGCUUAACUGUGAAACUGCAUUGGAUACUAUCCGGCUCGAGGAAUGGAGGGGAGACUGGAAUACAUGGUGUAGCAGUGAAAUGCGUAGAUAUCAAGUGGAACACCAGUGGCGAAGGCGAGUCUCUGGACAUUUCCUGACGCUGAGGCACGAAAGCCAGGGGAGCAAACGGG
rnacentral:rRNA from 1 species